rnacentral:rRNA from 1 species
AUUGAACGCUGGCGGCAGGCUUAACACAUGCAAGUCGAGCGGAGUUGUGGUGCUUGCACCAUAACUUAGCGGCGGACGGGUGAGUAAUGCUUAGGAAUCUGCCUAUUAGUGGGGGACAACAUCUCGAAAGGGAUGCUAAUACCGCAUACGUCCUACGGGAGAAAGCAGGGGACCUUCGGGCCUUGCGCUAAUAGAUGAGCCUAAGUCGGAUUAGCUAGUUGGUGGGGUAAAGGCCUACCAAGGCGACGAUCUGUAGCGGGUCUGAGAGGAUGAGCCGCCACACUGGGACUGAGACACGGCCCAGACUCCUACGGGAGGCAGCAGUGGGGAAUAUUGGACAAUGGGGGGGACCCUGAUCCAGCCAUGCCGCGUGUGUGAAGAAGGCCUUUUGGUUGUAAAGCACUUUAAGCGAGGAGGAGGCUACUGGUAUUAAUACUACCGGAUAGUGGACGUUACUCGCAGAAUAAGCACCGGCUAACUCUGUGCCAGCCGCCGCCGUAAUAC